AGGCUUUUGUGUGGUUCGUUGCUCUAGAUAGGUUUCAUACCAAUAGAUUGUUACAGUAUGGUUGACCAAAUAACCUUCGUCCGGGAUAUUUGCAUUUAAUGCAAGCAGGCUCAUGAAAUUCAGUCUAACUCUAACUCUCUACGAUGGCAGGAUUUUGCUUGUGGUCAUUCAGGUUAUGUGGUUGAAGAGGAAUGCUAAAGUUCAAAGCGUCACUUCAAUCUAAGCAUCAAAUGUUAGUGCUUUAAAAGCAUCGCAAUCUCUAAGAUUCAGAUGAACCAAAAGGUUGUCCUUAAUUGAUGUUUGUUUCCCUCUUUCCUAGAUAGGACUAUUAUUUCUCUUCUAAUUUCUUUGUUUCCAUAUAUAAAUUCCUUUCAUCAAAUAAAAAGCAGGAGUGAUCAACCUCAGUCAUUAUGACCCAUAUGAAUUUGUGUAGGGUUGUUGAAAAUCCAUAUGACCCAAAACCAAAUUAGGAAUACCCAAAUUGUUUCUACAGAUAAUGCCGCUAGUUCAUAUAUGAAUACUUACAAAUAAAAAAACAUAUUUACUAAAUUUCUCAAAUUACCUGUAGUUCUACUAUUUAUUUUACUGCAACAAUGAAGCCGAAAUAGAAACAUGUGAUCUUUAUGUUCUGCUCACAGUUCUAGCAACCACGAGGAAUUAGGGAUCCAGUAACAGCUCAAUAGUAGUAUUGAAUUAAGUAGAUUUUGAACAAUACCUGGUCAGCUAUUCCAAAUUAGAACAGUUCGAUGAAUAACGAACUCUUUCAGUCGAUGAAGAGACACUGGCGAAAUCUCUCUCUAUAUUUCGCUCGAUGAACAAAGGAAGGAAACUGGAUAAGAAAAGAUAGUUUGGGUCAGGUCAGUUCGGCCCCUAACUAGAACGACUUGCAUUUUCUAUCCCAGGUCUACAAUGGUUCGACCCAAAAAUAUACAUGGGGCAUAAUUGAUCGAGAAUUAUUUUUAUUCAGUCCGCUAGUUGAAAUAGCGGACAACGUGUUUAACAAUUGAAUAUAUAUAUAUAUAUAUAUAUAUAUAUAUAUAUAUAUAUAUAUAUAUAUAUAUAACCUUUCAAAUAAGGCUAUAGUUUUAGUAAUAUAGAAGUGACGUGCCAAAUAAUACAUAAAGCAGGAGGGGUUGACAAAGACAAACCAUCAGAAAUUAGAAUAUUUGUUAAGAAAUGAAAUGUCAACUGUUAAUCAAAAUUGGGAACUUUGCACUUACAUUGCAUCUCUCGUGGAUGCAGCUUCAUCGUCAAGGAGUAGUCCACAUCUUCCCUACAUACUACUAUUCUAUCCCUACUUUACUAUUAUUAUUAUUUUCUCAUUUUCUCUAAAAUCAGGUGACAAAUUUAUCAACAAAAAUACUUUAUACUUUUUUUAAUGUUUUAGGUACUUUUUCAUUACCAAAAAUAACUGGAGUAAUACAUAAAAGCUGUAACAAAACUAAUAAGCAUUUUUUCAAGCAAAUCAUAUUUGUUAAUUUUAAAAUUAAAUACAUAUAUGUUAAUUCUAAAUUUUAAGAUUCAUAAAUUAAUCUAAAAUUUUAAAACGUAUUCUUAAUUUCUCAGAAAUGGAGUACAAUUUUAUGUUAGACUUUUACUGAAAACCUUGUAGACUUGUAGUAGAAGUCUUUCCAUCUUCAUUAGUUGGUCGAGUGUACCCAGCCUCUUCUCCUCUUCUCUAUCUUAGUCUCUUCAUUCUCUCUUCGCUCUGAUCUUCUUCAAUCCAGAAUUAACAAANNNNNNNNNNNNNNNNNNNNNNNNNNNNNNNNNNNNNNNNNNNNNNNNNNNNNNNNNNNNNNNNNNNNNNNNNNNNNNNNNNNNNNNNNNNNNNNNNNNNAAAUUGAGAUAAGAGGGUUGUGUGUACCUGCUGAUGCUUUGUUGCUCCAUGGCAAUUCUACAAUCUGGGAGUUGCCCAAUCACAGAGAGAUUUCGCCCGAUUCUACAAUCUUUGAUUGAAAUUUCUUUUCCGCCAUUGCAGGAGAGUCUAAGUACAAAUUUCACGAUCAAGAACGGGAACAUUUUUGUAUAUGUUCAUAACAUAACAUAGAGAGAGAAAGAAGGAAUUAACAGAAGUGAAAUCAGAAAAUUGAGAAAGAGAGAGAGAGGAGAGAGGAGGAUCAAUUUUGGAGAAAGAGGGAGUGAGAGAGGGGCUCUCGGGAGAAAUAUGGGUUUUUGGAUCUGUUAAUGGUAAAAUUACUUGAUGCAAUUACUAUCAAAACAGAUAAUGAAGUUUAUAGAAUACUAAAAUUAUGUAAAAUGGAGAAGAAAAUAUACUUAUUAUAAU
rnacentral:lncRNA from 1 species